rnacentral:rRNA from 1 species
AAAUUGAAGAGUUUGAUCAUGGCUCAGAUUGAACGCUGGCGGCAGGCCUAACACAUGCAAGUCGAACGGUAACAGGAAGCAGCUUGCUGCUUUGCUGACGAGUGGCGGACGGGUGAGUAAUGUCUGGGAAACUGCCUGAUGGAGGGGGAUAACUACUGGAAACGGUGGCUAAUACCGCAUAACGUCGCAAGACCAAAGAGGGGGACCUUCGGGCCUCUUGCCAUCAGAUGUGCCCAGAUGGGAUUAGCUUGUUGGUGAGGUAACGGCUCACCAAGGCGACGAUCCCUAGCUGGUCUGAGAGGAUGACCAGCCACACUGGAACUGAGACACGGUCCAGACUCCUACGGGAGGCAGCAGUGGGGAAUAUUGCACAAUGGGCGCAAGCCUGAUGCAGCCAUGCCGCGUGUAUGAAGAAGGCCUUCGGGUUGUAAAGUACUUUCAGCGGGGAGGAAGGUGUUGCGGUUAAUAACCGCAGCAAUUGACGUUACCCGCAGAAGAAGCACCGGCUAACUCCGUGCCAGCAGCCGCGGUAAUACGGAGGGUGCAAGCGUUAAUCGGAAUUACUGGGCGUAAAGCGCACGCAGGCGGUCUGUCAAGUCGGAUGUGAAAUCCCCGGGCUCAACCUGGGAACUGCAUUCGAAACUGGCAGGCUUGAGUCUUGUAGAGGGGGGUAGAAUUCCAGGUGUAGCGGUGAAAUGCGUAGAGAUCUGGAGGAAUACCGGUGGCGAAGGCGGCCCCCUGGACAAAGACUGACGCUCAGGUGCGAAAGCGUGGGGAGCAAACAGGAUUAGAUACCCUGGUAGUCCACGCCGUAAACGAUGUCUACUUGGAGGUUGUGCCCUUGAGGCGUGGCUUCCGGAGCUAACGCGUUAAGUAGACCGCCUGGGGAGUACGGCCGCAAGGUUAAAACUCAAAUGAAUUGACGGGGGCCCGCACAAGCGGUGGAGCAUGUGGUUUAAUUCGAUGCAACGCGAAGAACCUUACCUGGUCUUGACAUCCACAGAACUUUCCA